UCGAGAAUCUUCCGCAAUGGACGAAAGUCUGACGGAGCGACGCCGCGUGCGGGAUGAAGGCCUUCGGGUUGUAAACCGCUGUCGAGGGGGAGGAAAUUUUGACCGAUCCCUGGAGGAAGCACAGGCUAAGUUCGUGCCAGCAGCCGCGGUAAUACGAACUGUGCGAACGUUAUUCGGAAUCACUGGGCUUAAAGGGUGCGUAGGCGGCGAUAAAGGUCAGGUGUGAAAUCCCACGGCUCAACCGUGGAACUGCGCUUGAAACCAUAUUGCUUGAGGGAGUCAGAGGUAAGCGGAACUGUUGGUGGAGCGGUGAAAUGCGUAGAUAUCAACAGGAACACCGGUGGCGAAAGCGGCUUACUGGGACUUUUCUGACGCUGAUGCACGAAAGCCAGGGGAGCAA
rnacentral:rRNA from 1 species